UUUAAUCCUUGAGCAUAACCAGUAUAUCCAGAAAGUACAGGAUGCUGAAAAGAGGACAGCAAUGCAAAAAGAGCUGCUAGAAUCAACUAUUGCAAGAUUGAAAGGUGAAUUGGAAGCAUCAAGGCAAGAGAAGACGUCUGUGCUGGAAGAGAAUGAAAGGCUUCAGAGAGAGGGCUAUUUGUGAAGUCUGCUCUGCCUCAGAGACUCCCUGAGUGGCCCCUUUUCUGAGAGGAUGUGCUAUCUCUGCAGUGUUAAUAAAACAGAGAAAGAAAUAGCACAAGAAAAAUGCAAUUUGGAAACGGAAUUAGCUAAAAGCAAGG